CGACCCCAUGAGUGAAAAGCUCGUAGUUGGAUAUCUGGAUUGAGUUUGUUCGUGGUUUCCACAGCAAAUUCAGUUCAUCCUUCUGUUAAAGCACCUUGUACUUGUACCGGGUGUCAGCUCAGAUAUUUUACCUUGAGAAAAUUAGAGUGUUUCAGGCAGGCAAGGCCGGAAUACAACAGCAUGGAAUAAUAGAAUUGACAUGACUCCGUGGUUGGCCAGAGAAGUGUAAUGAUUAAUAGGAACAGUUGGGGGCAUUAGUAUUUAAUUGUCAGAGGAGAAAUUCUUGGAUUUGUUAAAGACUAACUAAAGCGAAAGCUUUA
rnacentral:rRNA from 1 species